CCUACGGGGGGCAGCAGUGAGGAAUAUUGGUCAAUGGACGAGAGUCUGAACCAGCCAAGUAGCGUGAAGGAUGACUGCCCUAUGGGUUGUAAACUUCUUUUAUAUGGGAAUAAAAUGUUCCACGUGUGGGAUUUUGUAUGUACCAUAUGAAUAAGGAUCGGCUAACUCCGUGCCAGCAGCCGCGGUAAUACGGAGGAUCCGAGCGUUAUCCGGAUUUAUUGGGUUUAAAGGGAGCGUAGGUGGAUUGUUAAGUCAGUUGUGAAAGUUUGCGGCUGAACCGUAAAAUUGCAGUUGAAACUGGCAGUCUUGAGUACAGUAGAGGUGGGCGGAAUGCGUGGUGUAGCGGUGAAAUGCUUAGAUAUCACGAAGAACUCCGAUGGCGAAGGCAGUUCACUGGACUGCAACUGACACUGAGGCUCGAAAGUGUGGGUAUCAAACAGGAUUAGAUACCCCAGUAGUC
rnacentral:rRNA from 1 species